rnacentral:lncRNA from 1 species
CCUUUUCCCCUUCCCGAGCUGCCGGCUCUGCCAACCAGCUCCCAGAGCGAGCAGCCUGGGCUGCCGCUGCGCCGCGCCGCCAGGAUCUGAUGCGCAUCCAUAUUAGCCGUCCGAGCGCAGGAAUCCGGCCCGACCCGCGCCGCCGCGCCCGCCGAGCAAUUUAUUUUUAACCAGCACCGCCGGGACUCGGAUGGUGCGCGCACCGCGGGCCAGAAACAUCUUCCCAGCGCUGCUCUCCAUCUUCCGCCCUCUCUCCCCCGACAUCCUCCCCCCCAUGUGGGAGGGGAAACUUUUCUCCUACAUACUUUCGAGUCCCUCUCGGGCCGAGGAGCACGGAGAUGACGGCGCCCGCCCGCCGUUGCUCCCAUCUGCUCCAGAGGCAGUGGCUUUGAGGUGUGACCCUGUCCACGCUUGGGCCCAGCCAGCGCCAGCUCCUUGGUAAAGAGGAGCCAGCUUGAUAAGACGAAGAAAACAGGUCAGUGCAACUUUAUUGACUUUCUUGAGUCACAGUGACUUUGAAUGUUGUCUUCUCUCCCCUCCCCACGUCCGUCAAGUGGCCUGCCCUCUGCUCGGGGUCCUCCCGAGGCUUUGGUGCAAAACCACGGUGAGACUCUCGCUGUGAACUGUGAACUGCUGGCUCUCCCUGACCCAGCGGCCUGGGUGCCCGAUGAGAAGUCUCGGAAAGGGUGCCCAGGGCCUGGCUCACAGGAGGCAAUGCUGCAGCGGCCCCGUGCCCUGCGUCUCCCUUCCCACCCCCGGAUUCCCACCCGCUGUGCUCGGAACCGGAGCACAGGCCAGCCUGCUUGGCCAGUGGAGGUGACGGUUUCCUUUCGCGUCCGUGGUCUGCGUUUCCUGUCGUCUCUGGCCCCGCUGGAGGACGUGAUAGCCGAAUGGGGCCAGUGAUUUUUCUUUUGUUUUUGGUGGUUAUUAUUUAUUAUCUUUUUUGUUUGUUUUGUUUGUUUGCAGUGAUGGGGCUCAUGUGAAGGAUGGGGUCAGGGAGCAAAGGAGAAAACAAAAAUAUCAGGACUGUAAAUAUUUAUAAAGAAAAACAUGCUUUGUAAAUGGACCUUGAGCUGUUAAACCUGUGUUUCAUUCCCUGAGAUCGAGAAUCAGAAGGUUUUGGUUGGUUGGUUUGGGUUAUUGCGCUCGUCUGGUCCAGGGUCGGCAUGGGGUGGGUAGAAUGGACUAAUGCUGGCCUCUGGCUUCUGGUGAAAUUAGUGCAUAAAUGCACCUUAAUGCUGAGGUGGAUUUGUUUUUUCUAACCUGGAACAAUGAGCUACAUUGUUUUAUACCAGGCUCCUUCCCUUCCUGCUCCAUCCUCCCAGAAGGAGAACCUAGGUAUAAGACAGAAUUAAAGACACAGGUGCAAACCAGAAUAUCUCCAAAAGUCCUGUCUGGGUUGCUCCUGAAACAGCAUUCCAGAGACAAGCCCAGCCACUGUUCUUCUUUUCAAACGCUGGAACUGGGAGUUUCAUUUUGUUAACUGCACUUUCCAACUAGAGGCAAGAAGUCUCUAUU